GCUCCAGACUCCUACGGGAGGCAGCAGUAGGGAAUUUUGCGCAAUGGGCUAAAGCCUGACGCAGCAACGCCGCGUGAACGAGACGCCCUUCGGGGUGUAAAGUUCUGUCAGUGGGGACGAAAAAUGACGGUACCCACAGAGGAAGCACCGGCUAACUCCGUGCCAGCAGCCGCGGUAAUACGGAGGGUGCAAGCGUUAUCCGGAUUUACUGGGUGUAAAGGGGGCGCAGACGGCAGCGCAAGCCAGGAGUGAAAGCCCGGGGCCCAGCCCCGGGACUGCUCUUGGAACUGCGCGGCUGGAGUGCAGGAGGGGCAGGCGGAAUUCCUGGUGUAGCGGUGAAAUGCGUAGAUAUUAGGAGGAACACCAGUGGCGAAGGCGGCCUGCUGGACUGCAACUGACGUUGAGGCUCGAAAGCGUGGGGAGCAAACAGGAUUAGAUACCCCAGUAGUG
rnacentral:rRNA from 1 species